AUUCAAGUCUACUGGGGCCCAGGUGACUCGACGCCCGCAAGACGAAAAACCUCUUAUGGCCAUGUUUCUGCUUUCUCAGAUAGCCGCACUUUCUGAUGUCGUCUGACACGGAGAAACUGGCGUUCACAGCUAUAGCAGGUGUGGGGUCAAAAGGGCUUUGAAGGUCGUCAGUGAUGGUGGAUCAUGACAUUGCCAUCAUCGGCUAGGGUCUUUUCUCUGGCUGCUCAUUCCAGCACUGCUUCAUAAGCUGAAUGCACUCCAUUGGAGCGUGAUCCGGGGACACAACGGGCCGGCACAUUGGAGGAGGCUUCCGGACCUUCUGGACGAUUUCUAUUGAGUGUUACAUACAUAACAAUGAAAUAAGUACCUUGAUGAGGUCCAUAAUAAGAGAGGACUUGAACAUCCAGUCCAGUUUGACGUCUUCAUUUACCAAAAGAUCUUCCAAGCUGCCCCGUGAACAGAACUCCGUUACAAUGGCAAAGACUCCACAGUCAUGGAAGAAGCCGAGAAAGGGGUUAACGUUCUCAUGCCUCAUAUCUUUCAUCUGGUGUAUGACAGCGCUCGGCUCACCUCCUGACACAGGUGCAGAAAAGCAGCCUGAACGCUCUCGUGGUUCUCCCUGGCCGAAGCCUCGAAGUAGGGUCCUCCCAAUUCAUCAGCCAGUGCCUUACCCUCGUGUGCUGGGACCUGUCGAGC